rnacentral:ncRNA from 2 species
GGACGAGCCUCUGGAGAGUCUCAUUAUGGGCGCCGAAGGAGCAAACCGGUCUGUUGCCGGUGAAACUCUCAGGUACAAGGGACAGAGUGGAAUAG